CACCUAGCGAUGUCAAAGCAUUCUGUUCAAACAAACAUUGUUCUGUAAAACUGGUUUACUGCAGCUGUAUAUUUUUGAUACAACGCUAUGCCUACGGACAUAAAAGGAAAAGUUGUCUUUUUACCUGUAGACAUUGAGUAUUUUUUUCUGGGUGGGUAAUGUACAGGUACUAGUAGUUUUUAACAUGUGCACAGGAUGGGGUACAGUCCCUAAUGGCACCCUAUUCCCUUUCUAGUGCACUACAUUUAACCAGAGCCCUAUGGCUAAUGGCACCCUAUUCCCCAGCUAGUGCACUACGUGGGGGGAGAGGGGGGUUAGGGUGUGGUUUGGGACUCCUUGUGUUUUUAUAUGUAAAGGUAUAUAUUUUAAAGCUAGAUGGCUGAGUCCUGUAAGGGCUGAAAUCUGUUUUCAGGCAGUCCAUGCUUCUCCAGGAGACGCUUUAUGUCUAUUAUCCCGUUCAACUGCCUCUGGCUGUUUGUCCCAAAGGGCACCGUGUUCUCUAUAUAGUGUGAUACGUUUCACCAGGGUUCAUAGAGCUCUGGUCAGAAGUAGUGUACUAUAUAGGGUAUAGUGUGCACUUUGGGACAUACCCUCUUACUUAUGUCCAACCCUAACCCCUUACACCCUAGGUUGAAACCCUAACCCCUACACCCUAGGUUGAACCCUAAUCCCUACACCCUAGGUUGAACCCUACACUCUAGGUUGAAACCCUAACCCCCUACACUCUAGGUUGAAACCCUAACCCCCUACACUCUAGGUUGAAUCCUAACCCCCUACACUCUAGGUUGAAUCCCCUCUACACUCUAGGUUGAAACCCUAACCCCCUACACUCUAGGUUGAAUCCUAACCCCCUACACUCUAGGUUGAAACCCUAACCCCCUACACUCUAGGUUGAAACCCUAACCCCCUACACCCUAGGUUGAAUCCCCUCUACACCCUAGGUUGAAUCCUAACCCCCUACACUCUAGGUUGAAACCCUAACCCCCUACACUCUAGGUUGAAACCCUAACCCCCUACACUCUAGGUUGAAUCCCCUCUACACCCUAGUUUUGGAGUGGGGACUAGGGAUUGGUUUGGAAUUUGAAAACUGUCUGUCGAUCAUUAAUGUACUGCAACUCUCCCCAACUUCUCCCCUCAGACACCCAGGGCCUGUAUCUGUUUCAGAUCAAAGCUGCCCCAUAGCAGAGCACAGAUCUGGGAUCAGUUUACCCCUAACUUCUCCUCUCUGUCCCAGGGCCUGUAUCUGUUUCAGAUCAAAGCUGCCCCAUAGCAGAGCACAGAUCUGGGAUCAGCUUACCCCUAACUUCUCCUCUCUGUCCCAGGGCCUGUAUCUGUUUCAGAUCAAAGCUGCCCCAUAGCAGAGCACAGAUCUGGGAUCAGUUUACC
rnacentral:lncRNA from 1 species